rnacentral:rRNA from 1 species
AGUUUGAUCAUGGCUCAGGAUGAACGCUGGCGGCGUGCUUAACACAUGCAAGUCGAACGGAAAGGCCCUCUGCUUGCAGAGGGUACUCGAGUGGCGAACGGGUGAGUAACACGUGGGUGAUCUGCCCUGCACUGUGGGAUAAGCCUGGGAAACUGGGUCUAAUACCAUAUAUGACCGCAUUUUGGAUGGUGUGGUGGAAAGCUUUUGCGGUGUGGGAUGAGCCUGCGGCCUAUCAGCUUGUUGGUGGGGUAAUGGCCUACCAAGGCGGCGACGGGUAUCCGGCCUGAGAGGGUGUACGGACACAUUGGGACUGAGAUACGGCCCAGACUCCUACGGGAGGCAGCAGUGGGGAAUAUUGCACAAUGGGCGCAAGCCUGAUGCAGCGACGCCGCGUGGGGGAUGAAGGCCUUCGGGUUGUAAACUCCUUUCGCUAUCGACGAAGCCACUUGUGGUGACGGUAGGUAGAUAAGAAGCACCGGCUAACUACGUGCCAGCAGCCGCGGUAAUACGUAGGGUGCGAGCGUUGUCCGGAAUUACUGGGCGUAAAGAGCUCGUAGGUGGUUUGUCGCGUCGUCUGUGAAAUCCCGGGGCUUAACUUCGGGCGUGCAGGCGAUACGGGCAUAACUUGAGUGCUGUAGGGGAGACUGGAAUUCCUGGUGUAGCGGUGAAAUGCGCAGAUAUCAGGAGGAACACCGAUGGCGAAGGCAGGUCUCUGGGCAGUUACUGACGCUGAGGAGCGAAAGCAUGGGUAGCGAACAGGAUUAGAUACCCUGGUAGUCC